UCCUAACUACCCUAUACAGGUAAUAUAACAGUCCUAACUACCCUAUACAGGUAAGAUAACAGUCCUAACUACCCUAUAGAGGUAAGAUAACAGGCCUAACUACCCUAUACAGAUAUUAUAGCAGUCCUAACUACCCUAUAGAGUAAGAUAACAGUCCUAACUACCCUAUAGAGGUAAGAUAACAGUCCUAACUACCCUAUACAGAUAAUAUAACAGUCCUAACUACCCUAUACAGGUAAGAUAACAGUCCUAACUACCCUAUAGAGGUAAGAUAACAGUCCUAACUACCCUAUAGAGGUAAGAUAACAGUCCUAACUACCCUAUACAGAUAAUAUAACAGUCCUAACUACCCUAUACAGGUAAGAUAACAGUCCUAACUACCCUAUAGAGGUAAGAUAACAGUCCUAACUACCCUAUAGAGGUAAGAUAGCAGUACUAACUACCCUAUACAGGUAAUAUAACAGUCCUAACUACCCUAUACAGAUAAUAUAACAGUCCUAACUACCCUAUACAGGUAAGAUAACAGUCCUAACUACCCUAUACAGUAAGAUAACAGUACUAACUACCCUAUACAGGUAAUAUAACAGUCCUAACUACCCUAUACAGUAAGAUAACAGUCCUAACUACCCUAUAGAGGUAAGAUAACAGUCCUAACUACCCUAUACAGAUAAUAUAACAGUCCUAACUACCCUCUACAGGUAAGAUAACAGUCCUAACUACC
rnacentral:lncRNA from 1 species